rfam:Homo sapiens chromosome 10, GRCh38 reference primary assembly.
GCCGGGCAUGGUGGUGCAUGCCUGUAAUCCCAGCUACUCGGGAGGCUGAGGCAAGAGAAUCGCUUGAACCCGGGAGGUGGAGGUUGCAGUGAGCCAAGAUCACGCCACUGCACUGCAGCCUGGGCGACAGAGCGAGACUCUGUCUCAA